GAUGAACGCUGGCGGCGUGCCUAAUACAUGCAAGUCGAGCGAACAGACGAGGAGCUUGCUCCUCUGACGUUAGCGGCGGACGGGUGAGUAACACGUGGAUAACCUACCUAUAUGACUGGGAUAACUUCGGGAAACCGGAGCUAAUACCGGAUAAUAUAUUGAACCGCAUGGUUCAAUAGUGAAAGACGGUUUUGCUGUCACUUAUAGAUGGAUCCGGGCCGGAUUAGCUAGUUGGUAAGGUAACGGCUUACCAAGGCAACGAUGCGUAGCCGACCUGAGAGGGUGAUCGGCCACACUGGAACUGAGACACGGUCCAGACUCCUACGGGAGGCAGCAGUAGGGAAUCUUCCGCAAUGGGCGAAAGCCUGACGCAGCAACGCCGCGUGAGUGAUGAAGGUCUUCGGAUCGUAAAACUCUUUUAUUAGGGAAGAACAACUGUAUAAGUAACUAUGCACGUCUUGACGGUACCUAAUCAGAAAGCCACGGCUAACUACGUG
rnacentral:rRNA from 1 species